rnacentral:rRNA from 1 species
UACGAAGGGUGCAAGCGUUACUCGGAAUCACUGGGCGUAAAGCGCACGUAGGCGGCUUGGUAUGUCGGGUGUGAAAUCCCCGGGCUCAACCUGGGAACUGCAUCCGAAACUGCCUUGCUAGAGUAUGGGAGAGGGAAGUGGAAUUUCCGGUGUAGCGGUGAAAUGCGUAGAUAAUCGGAAGGAACAUCAGUGGCGAAGGCGACUUCCUGGACCAAUACUGACGCUCAGGUGCGAAAGCGUGGGGAGCAA